AUUGAACGCUGGCGGCAGGCUUAACACAUGCAAGUCGAACGAGUGGCGGAAGGGUGAGUAAUGCUUGGGAAUCUGGCUGAUGGAGGGGGAUAACUACUGGAAACGGUAGCUAAUACCGCAUACCAUCAGAUGAGCCCCAAUGGGAUUAGGUAGUUGGUGAGGUAACGGCUCACCAAGCCGACGAUCUCUAGCGGGUCUGCGAGGAUGACCAGCCACACUGGAACGGAGACACGGUCCAGACUCCUACGGGAGGCAUCAGUGGGGAAUAUGUCAUAAGGGGGGCAAGCCUGAUGCAGCCAUGCCGCGUGUAGGAAGAAGGCCUUCGGGUUGUAAAGUACUUUCAGCAGGGAGGCGUUAACCGCAGAAGAAGCACCGGCUAACGCCGUGCCAGCAGCCGCGGUAAUUC
rnacentral:rRNA from 1 species